rnacentral:misc_RNA from 1 species
AAGUCGUAACAAGGUUUCCGUAGGUGAACCUGCGGAAGGAUCAUUACAAAUCCACACGUCUCUCACGAGACCACGUUGAACCGUUUGGGACACACAGACUAGACAGACACAUUCUGGCUGGCUGUCUGUUGUUGUCUCAUCCCCCUUUGUUCUCUAGUAGUGAUGUUGCACAUAAGUAUACUAUUCCUCUUGUGAAUAACAACGAGAAACAACUUAUAACAAUGGAUCUCUAGGCUCUU